UGGGGAAUUGUUCGCAAUGGGCGCAAGCCUGACGACGCAACGCCGCGUGGGGGAUGAAGGUCUUCGGAUUGUAAACCCCUUUCGGCAGGGAAGAUGGAACGGGUAACCGUUCGGACGGUACCUGCAGAAGCAGCCACGGCUAACUUCGUGCCAGCAGCCGCGGUAAUACGUAGGCAGCGAACGUUGUUCGGAGUUACUGGGCGUAAAGAGUGCGUAGGCGGUUCGCUAAGUCUGGUGUGAAAUCUCCCGGCUUAACUGGGAGGGUGCGCUAGAUACUGGCGGGCUUGAGUAUGGGAGAGGAAAGCGGAAUUCCUGGUGUAGCGGUGAAAUGCGUAGAUAUCAGGAGGAACACCGGUGGUGUAGACGGCUUUCUGGACCAUUACUGACGCUGAGGCACGAAAGCGUGGGGAGCAAACAGGAUUAGAUACCCUCGUAGUCCCUGAGCGGGCUGGCAAGGCGCAU
rnacentral:rRNA from 1 species